UACAGAGGGUGCAAGCGUUGUUCGGAAUUACUGGGCGUAAAGCGCGUGCAGGCGGCCUUGCAAGUCGGACGUGAAAUCCCACGGCUCAACCGUGGAAGUGCAUUCGAAACUGCGAGGCUGGAGUCCUGGAGAGGAAAGUGGAAUACUCGGUGUAGAGGUGAAAUUCGUAGAUAUCGAGUGGAACACCGGUGGCGAAGGCGGCUUUCUGGACCGGUAUUGACGCUGAGGCGCGAAAGCCAGGGGAGCAAACGGG
rnacentral:rRNA from 1 species